UUCUUUUUGAGCAGAGAAAAACAGUCAGAUAAAGUGAUUGCUGAGUGGAGUUUACGGCUUUUUCUUCUUUUCUGCUAUGGGGUUCUGAAAGAUUGAUUCUUGAUCGACUUAUUUGAUAUACUCUUCUGUUAAGAAAGAGAAAGUUGAGUUUUUUGCUGUUUCAAUAUUCAAAAUUCAAAAGCUAUGGACUUUUCGUCUAUAUUUUGCUGUGUCAAGGGUUCAGAUCGAAAGGGGCAAGCGAAGAAGCAGCCAACAUGGAGGGUUUUUUCUCUGAAGGAGUUGCACUCUGCUACGAAUAAUUUUAACUAUGAUAACAAGCUUGGAGAAGGUGGUUUUGGAAGUGUUUACUGGGGGCAGCUCUGGGAUGGAUCUCAGAUAGCAGUCAAAAGGCUAAAGGUGUGGAGCAACAAAGCUGAGAUGGAAUUUGCUGUUGAAGUUGAAAUUCUGGCUAGAGUACGACACAAAAAUCUUCUAAGUUUACGCGGUGACCAUACCAAACAAAACACAAACUUGUAUCAGUAUAUUCAAUAUUUCAAUAUGGGAACCCUAUACCAACCUCUUGAAUCAACAAUCCAAGACCUAAAAGUCACAAUCCAUAACACUAGCUUAGUCUUCCCAUCACAAGAAACUCCAAAAAAACCUAUGUUCUUACCAAAUAUUGAUCAAGUCCUCAAUUUUGAUGUCCAAACACUACAUUUUUUCAAUGCAAAUCCUGAAUUUCCACCAGAAAUUGUGACGGAACGACUCCGAAUCGCGUUAUCUAGGGUUCUUGUUCCUUAUGAUUUUUUGGCUGGGAGACUUAGGAUGAAUCAAGAGUCAAAAAGAUUGGAAUUUGAUUGUAAUAGUGAUGCUGGAGCUGUAUUUAUGGUUGCUUCAAGUGAAUUAACAUUGAAUGAGAUUGGUGAUUUAGUUUACCCUAAUCCUGGUUUUAGACAAUUAAUUGUUCAUGAGAACAUUGAUAUUUUGGAAAAAGAUGAUAAACCACUUUGCAUUCUCCAGGUUACAUCAUUUAAGUGUGGUGGUUUUGCAAUGGGCUUUUCAACAAACCACAUAACCUUUGAUGGAAUAAGCUUCAAGACUUUCUUACAAAACUUAGCUUCUCAAGCAUUUGAUGAUGACAACAAUAACCCUAAGCCCUUAGCCAUUGUCCCAUGCAAUGAUCGUACCCUCCUAGCCGCUCGUAGGCCUCCACGUGUCACGUUCCCACACGUCGAAUUACUCAAAUUGGAUGUCCCCAUUGGUGAAGAACUAAAUGCUAAAGUAUUUGAAACCCUACAAGAAGAACUUGACUUCAAAAUAUUUAAGUUCAAUCCAAGUGACAUUAAUUCCUUGAAGGAAAAGGCAAAAGACGAAAAUACCCCUAACGCGAAAAUCACGAGUUUUAAUGUGGUAACUUCUUACGUAUGGAGGUGUAAGGCGUUAUCGUAUGAUGAUGAGAACAAUUCAGAGCGAGUUUCAACUGUUUUAUUCGCGGUUGAUAUCAGACCUAGGUUAAAUCCACCAUUGCCACAAUCUUACGCUGGCAACGCUGUGCUGACGUCCUACGCGUCAGCCACGUGUCACGAGCUUGAAGAAGGGCCUUUUAGUAAAAUUGUUGAUUUAGUGUCACAAGGGGGUAAAAGAAUGGAUGAUGAAUAUGCAAGAAGUGCAAUUGAUUGGGGUGAGAUUAACAAAGGAUUUCCAAAUGGGGAAUUUUUGCUUUCAUCAUGGUGGAAAUUAGGGUUUUCACAAGUUGAAUACCCUUGGGGUAAACCAAAAUAUAGUUGUCCUGUGGUUUGUCAUAGAAAAGAAAUUAUAUUAUUAUUCCCAAAUAUUGAUGAUGGUAAAAGCAACAACAAUGAUGGGGUUAAUAUAUUUGUGGCUCUUCCUCCCAAGCAAAUGAACAAAUUUGAGUCUUAUUUUAACAAGUUUUUGUUGGAUUGAGAUUUUG
rnacentral:misc_RNA from 1 species